GACGGGGGCCCGCGACAAGCGGUGGAGCAUGUGGUUUAAUUCGAUGCAACGCGAAGAACCUUACCUGGGCUUGACAUCCCGGGAAUCCCUUGGAAACAAGGGAGUGCCCUUCGGGGAACCUGGAGACAGGUGCUGCAUGGCUGUCGUCAGCUCGUGUCGUGAGAUGUAGGGUUAAGUCCCGCAACGAGCGCAACCCCUAUUGUUAGUUGCCAUCAUUCAGUUGGGCACUCUAGCGAGACUGCCGGUAAUAAACCGGAGGAAGUGGGAUGACGUCAAAUCAUCAUGCCCCUUAUGACCUGGGCUACACACGUGCUACAAUGGUUGGUACAACGAGUUGCGAGUCGGUGACGGCGAGCUAAUCUCUUAAAGCCAAUCUCAGUUCGGAUUGUAGGCUGCAACUCGCCUACAUGAAGUCGGAAUCGCUAGUAAUCGCGGAUCAGCACGCCGCGGUCGAAUACGUUCCCGGGCCUU
rnacentral:rRNA from 1 species